AUUGAACGCUGGCGGCAGGCCUAACACAUGCAAGUCGAGCGGAUGAAGGGAGCUUGCUCCUGGAUUCAGCGGCGGACGGGUGAGUAAUGCCUAGGAAUCUGCUUGGUAGUGGGGGAUAACGUCCGGAAACGGGCGCUAAUACCGCAUACGUCCUGAGGGAGAAAGUGGGGGAUCUUCGGACCUCACGCUAUCAGAUGAGCCUAGGUCGGAUUAGCCAGUUGGUGGGGUAAAGGCCUACCAAGGCGACGAUCCGUAACUGGUCUGAGAGGAUGAUCAGUCACACUGGAACUGAGACACGGUCCAGACUCCUACGGGAGGCAGCAGUGGGGAAUAUUGGACAAUGGGCGAAAGCCUGAUCCAGCCAUGCCGCGUGUGUGAAGAAGGUCUUCGGAUUGUAAAGCACUUUAAGUUGGGAGGAAGGGCAGUAAGUUAAUACCUUGCUGUUUUGACGUUACCAACAGAAUAAGCACCGGCUAACUUCGUG
rnacentral:rRNA from 1 species